UGAACCCUAAAUCCCCUGUCCUUAUGCUUGAGCGAAGGAAAAAAAAUGGCUUUAAAAAUGCUUUUUGCAGUUUUGAAAGUCCUUGUGAUCCUUUCCCUUUUCAUGGCUCUCGAGGUCUCUGCAAGGGAACUUCUCGAGACUUCGAAUUCCCUUGGCCCUUAUAAGAUGCCUAUGACGCUCAAGAGACUAAUUGAUGUUCCCUGGGGCCACCAUCCUGUUACUAUUAACCCUUGAUGAUAUUCGCAACGCCAAAAUAAAACUCAUUCGGAAUAAGAGACUUCUCUCAUCAAGAAUAUUGUUUGGGUUUGAGUCUCGUACUAUACAUAGUUUGUAAUAUGCUGCUAUUUUUCUUUUCUUUAGUUUUUGAUCUAGCAAUAGAUUGAAAAUAAAUUGGACUGUCAAACGUAACGGAGUUGAAUUUUUAGUACAAUUUCACCA